rnacentral:rRNA from 1 species
UACGUAGGGGGCAAGCGUUGUCCGGAUUUAUUGGGCGUAAAGAGCGUGUAGGCGGCCAUACAGGUCCGUUGUGAAAACUGGAGGCUUAACCUCCAGACGUCGAUGGAAACCGUAUGGCUAGAGUCCGGAAGAGGAGAGUGGAAUCCCUGGUGUAGCGGUGAAAUGCGCAGAUAUCAGGAAGAACACCAAUGGCGAAAGCAGCUCUCUGGGACGGUACUGACGCUGAGACGCGAAAGCGUGGGGAGCAAACAGG